UACUCGUAACCGUAGUCGUUCAAAAAUUGAAGAAGCAGAUGAAUUACUUCAAGCUGGAAUUUUUCAUCCAAAGCCAUCUUUUGACGUACGGAACGAAUGCUCGUAUCUUCCUGCAAUGGGCGUUUAUUGUUCCUCUGCUCUCCCAAUCUCGUCGAGCCUUUACCGUUCCCUAAGUUGGCACACACUUUAGCGAUUUCAAAUUGUUGUGUUCUUUAAAGAAGAUGUUUGAUGCCUGUGACAAG